rnacentral:rRNA from 1 species
GUGGAUUAGAUACCCUGGUAGUCCACGCCGUAAACGAUGCAUACUAGUCGUAUGGGGUAUCGACCCCCUGUGCGACGCAGCUAACGCGAUAAGUAUGCCGCCUGGGAAGUACGGCCGCAAGGCUAAAACUCAAAGGAAUUGACGGGGACCCGCACAAGCAGAGGAGGAUGUGGUUUAAUAUGACGCUACGCGUAGAACCUUACCCAGGCUUGACAUCCUUGGAACCCACUGGAAACAGAGGAGUGCCGCAAGGAGCCAAGUGACAGGUGCUGCAUGGCUGUCGCCAACU